rnacentral:rRNA from 1 species
CUGCGAAUGGCUCAUUAAAUCAGUUAUCGUUUAUUUGAUAGUACCUUACUACUUGGAUAACCGUGGUAAUUCUAGAGCUAAUACAUGCUAAAAACCCCGACUUCGGAAGGGGUGUAUUUAUUAGAUUAAAAACCAAUGCCCUUCGGGGCUCUCUGGUGAUUCAUAAUAACUUUACGAAUCGCAUGGCCUUGCGCCGGCGAUGGUUCAUUCAAAUUUCUGCCCUAUCAACUUUCGAUGGCAGGGUCUUGGCCUGCCAUGGUUACAACGGGUAACGGAGGGUUAGGGCUCGACCCCGGAGAAGGAGCCUGAGAAACGGCUACUACAUCCAAGGAAGGCAGCAGGCGCGCAAAUUACCCAAUCCCGAUUCGGGGAGGUAGUGACAAUAAAUACUGAUACAGGGCUCUUUUGGGUCUUGUAAUUGGAAUGAGUACAAUUUAAAUCCCUUAACGAGGAACAAUUGGAGGGCAAGUCUGGUGCCAGCAGCCGCGGUAAUUCCAGCUCCAAUAGCGUAUAUUAAAGUUGUUGCAGUUAAAAAGCUCGUAGUUGAAACUUGGGCCUGGCUGGCCGGUCCGCCUCACCGCGUGCACUGGUUCGGCCGGGCCUUUCCCUCUGGGGAGCCUCAUGCCCUUCACUGGGUGUGUUGGGGAACCAGGACUUUUACUGUGAAAAAAUUAGAGUGUUCAAAGCAGGCCUAUGCUCGAAUACAUUAGCAUGGAAUAAUAGAAUAGGACGUGUGGUUCUAUUUUGUUGGUUUCUAGGACCGCCGUAAUGAUUAAUAGGGACAGUCGGGGGCAUCAGUAUUCAAUUGUCAGAGGUGAAAUUCUUGGAUUUAUUGAAGACUAACUACUGCGAAAGCAUUUGCCAAGGAUGUUUUCAUUAAUCAGGAACGAAAGUUAGGGGAUCGAAGACGAUCAGAUACCGUCGUAGUCUUAACCAUAAACUAUGCCGACUAGGGAUCGGACGAUGUUAUUUUUUGACUCGUUCGGCACCUUACGAGAAAUCAAAGUC